rnacentral:rRNA from 1 species
UACGUAGGGUGCAAGCGUUGUCCGGAAUUAUUGGGCGUAAAGAGCUCGUAGGCGGUUUGUCGCGUCUGCUGUGAAAACCCGAGGCUCAACCUCGGGCCUGCAGUGGGUACGGGCAGACUAGAGUGCGGUAGGGGAGAAUGGAAUUCCCGGUGUAGCGGUGAAAUGCGCAGAUAUCGGGAGGAACACCGGUGGCGAAGGCGGUUCUCUGGGCCGAUACUGACGCUGAGGAGCGAAAGCGUGGGGAGCGAACAGG